GGACUACUGGGGUAUCUAAUCCUGUUUGCUCCCCACGCUUUCGCGCCUCAGCGUCAGUCUCGGUCCAGAGAGCCGCCUUCGCCACCGGUGUUCUUCCCAAUAUCUACGAAUUUCACCUCUACACUGGGAAUUCCACUCUCCUCUCCCGAACUCGAGCCCUCCAGUCCCAAGCGCACCUCCCAGGUUGAGCCCGGGGCUUUCACGCCUGACUUGAAGGGCCGCCUACGCGCCCUUUACGCCCAGUAAAUCCGAACAACGCUCGCCCCCUUCGUAUUACCGCGGCUGCUGGCAC
rnacentral:rRNA from 2 species